rnacentral:rRNA from 1 species
GACGAACGCUGGCGGCGUGCUUAACACAUGCAAGUCGAACGGAAAGACCCUGCUUUUGUGGGGUGCUCGAGUGGCGAACGGGUGAGUAACACGUGAGUAACCUGCCCUUGACUUUGGGAUAACUUCAGGAAACUGGGGCUAAUACCGGGUAGGAGCUCCUGCUGCAUGGUGGGGGUUGGAAAGUUUCGGCGGUUGGGGAUGGACUCGCGGCUUAUCAGCUUGUUGGUGGGGUAGUGGCUUACCAAGGCUUUGACGGGUAGCCGGCCUGAGAGGGUGACCGGCCACAUUGGGACUGAGAUACGGCCCAGACUCCUACGGGAGGCAGCAGUGGGGAAUAUUGCACAAUGGGCGGAAGCCUGAUGCAGCAACGCCGCGUGCGGGAUGACGGCCUUCGGGUUGUAAACCGCUUUCGCCUGUGACGAAGCGUGAGUGACGGUAAUGGGUAAAGAAGCACCGGCUAACUACGUG